AAGCGUGUGAUUUACAGGCCAUGGAGUGUGAAUAAUUACUGAUCUUCCUUCGUUUUAUUGGGCUUAUGUAUAUAUAUGAAGAGCUAGCUUGAAUAAUUGAGUUGGUUGUUGCUGGAGUAGGAGUGCCUAGAAUAAAAGUCAGGUUACUUGGGUAGGUGGCUAUCAUGGUUAGCCUUUGUUAAAAGUGAACGUGAGAGCUGGUCCUCCUGAUGCGACUAGGCUGCGAUCCACAUGGUUAGCCGUGGAAUGUAGAAACAAAAAUGCUUUUAAAGUCUAGAUUCCAAGUAUUUUGAGAGAAAGAGAGAGAGAGUACAUUUCUGUCGAAUCGGUGCCUCCUUUUUACUAAUUUUUAUAUGAUUGGGGGAAGAGAGAGGCGCAUGCCACACAUGUUUCUUUUUCUUUUUCUUAGUGGAAUGAGUAUCAAAUUAAUUAAAAGGGACCCAUGUAAAAGACUUGGACUUGCAAGUCAUUUUUCUUUUUCUAUGUCACUGUGUGUAAUGAACUUUUCUUAAUUAAGUUUUUUAUUUACUUUA